AUGCCACGUUUAUGCACUACCUUCCUUUUGUCACGCAAGAUAGAAUCAACAAGUUUUACACUAAUGGAAACGAAACCGAACAUUUAUUGGGUUGUUUCCCCUCAUCUCCUAUUUAGUGCUUUCAAGUUUGUUUUCUGGAGUCUAAUAAGAGCUUGCUACUCUUCCAUAGAUAGAACUUACUUCAUACCCUAUUUGUUUGCCUCCCGGUUCCAUAGCAUUGCGCCGUCUUGGCAUGCACCAUGCAGUGAGACAAUAUGCCGCCGCAAACCUGUAUCAUGCCGCCGCAAACCUGUAUCUGAUGAUCCUAUGGGAGAGAGGGCUGAUCAGAUUUUCGGAAGUGCUCUCUUGCGAUUGCGAACUCUUCUCCAACGUGGUUGCGCACAACUACUUCCUUGCUAUUAG
rnacentral:rRNA from 1 species